rnacentral:lncRNA from 1 species
UUGGACGUGAAUCUUUCUUGGGCAUCCUAUCUAGUCAUGUGAGGUGUCACAUCAUCACAUCUCAUUCUUCGAUUGAUUGAGUUGCGAAGCCAAUUGGAUUGGAGUUCAUCCUGCUUUCCUGCGGCAUCUAACGUGCAUGCAAAGUAGAGGGUCUGCAUAUCUAGGCCUCCGUAAAGGUUUAUAUCAGAUAAUUUAAGAUUUGAUCUUUGAUUUU